UACGUAGGUCCCGAGCGUUGUCCGGAUUUAUUGGGCGUAAAGCGAGCGCAGGUGGUUUAUUAAGUCUGGUGUAAAAGGCAGUGGCUCAACCAUUGUAUGCAUUGGAAACUGGUAGACUUGAGUGCAGGAGAGGAGAGUAGAAUUCCAUGUGUAGCGGUGAAAUGCGUAGAUAUAUGGAGGAACACCGGUGGCGAAAGCGGCUCUCUGGCCUGUAACUGACACUGAGGUUCGAAAGCGUGGGGAGCAAACAGG
rnacentral:rRNA from 1 species